rnacentral:rRNA from 1 species
AUUGAACGCUGGCGGCAGGCCUAACACAUGCAAGUCGAGCGGCAGCGGAAAGUAGCUUGCUACUUUGCCGGCGAGCGGCGGACGGGUGAGUAAUGUCUGGGAAACUGCCUGAUGGAGGGGGAUAACUACUGGAAACGGUAGCUAAUACCGCAUAACGUCGCAAGACCAAAGAGGGGGACCUUCGGGCCUCUUGCCAUCCGAUGUGCCCAGAUGGGAUUAGCUAGGAGGUGGGAUAACGGCUCACCUAGGCGACGAUCCCUAGCUGGUCUGAUAGGAUGACACGCCACACUGGAACUGAGACCCUGUCCAGACUCCUACGGGAGGCAGCAGUGGGGAAUAUUGCACAAUGGGCGCAAGCCUGAUGCAGCCAUGCCGCGUGUAUGAAGAAGGCCUUCGGGUUGUAAAGUACUUUCAGCGGGGAGGAGGGUGUUGAGGUUAAUAACCUCAGCAAUUGACGUUACCCGCAGAAGAAGCACCGGCUAACUCCGUGCCAGCCGCCGCCGUAAGAC